ensembl:processed_transcript
UGAAAUUUGUAAGUUUACAUCAAUCUAUUAGGUGGAAAGGGUCGUCCCAGAAGGAAAAACUAUUUUCAGAGCUGGAGAAAGUGUGACAGUCGCCUGCACUGAAAAAACUUGGUUUAGUUCAAAAGAAACCAGCAAAACAUUUACAUGUCAAGAUGAUGGGCAGUGGGACUCUUAUCCUGGUUGUGAAGUGAUUACAUGUGAAUCUCCACCUAUACAGCAUGUAUCCACCUACUUUUGGAGGACGAUGAAACUGGAAGAAACAAAAUAUCUUAUAACUGUGAUUCUGGUUAUUAUAAGAAGGCAGAAGUGGGCACAUGGACACGAGAUGGACUGACACGAAAACCCCUGUAUAUCCCCGAAAUCGUCUGUGCAGCUCCUGAUCUGCCAAAUGCAAAAAUCACAAGAGGUCUAAAAUCAAAGUACAAACUCAAUUCAGCAAUACAAUAUCAAUGUCCCCCAGGAUUUGAACCACAUGGCACUGUACAAAUCACCUGUUUGUCCUCGGGUCAAUGGUCAGACAUACAGCAAUGCACUGG